UCACAUCUAAAUGUGUCCUAAACACACCCUUGCUAAAAAUACAUCCAGGAGCUGCAUUUAAGUUUGAUUUUCACCUAUGUUGUUGUAGACGAAGCGGCUCCUGUUGAUGAACUGCUGGAAUUGCCAGAGCUGCACGUCCAGGGAAAUGGGGCUGUACCCGGAGGUCCACAGGCUCCCGUUCACCCGUCUGAUGGUUCCGGCGGCGCUCGCGAAAUUGGCUCCCUGCGUGAAGUUGCUCCCUAGUGAAUCCAGGUACGCAUUCAGGUAACGUAGCCCCAGGUUUUGAGCUGCGAUACGUCGUACGUGUUAGGAAAAAUAAAAAAUCUCUAGUUUUGAGUUGUUUGUGCAGGAAAGAAAAAACUCUAAAUCCAUCCUAGUUUUGAGUUGUAGAUAAAUGUCAUGAGUACCCAUGAAGUCGAUGACGAGGCGGCCGUCGCUCUGCCGCCCGGCCGGCAUGCCGAAGAAGGUCUGGCCGUAGGGCGGCUGCACCGCCGGGAAGAGGGCCGGGAAGGCUCCGGUGUCCGAGGAGGAGUCGCCGAAGUUGAAGAUGGCCGGGAAGCCGCACGGGGAAUCUUCGGAGCGCACCAUUUCUAGUACCACCAGCAACACCACGAACGUGAUCAGUUUGUUGGUGGCCAUGGUGGUGCGACGGCGAGCUGAAAUCAUUUCCGACCUCUCGACCGUGUGCCGUGACGGUGAAGCUGCUUGAAGUGGAUUUAUACACGCCGGCACCGAGGUCGUCACAGUCGAGCACCCGUGUUGGACUGGCGGUCUCCGACGUGAUCCUAAAGAGAUGGAAUAGCUACGUUUUGUUGACAACUAGUAUUAAGCGGCUGAUUUCCAUGCACCACCCUCCAUAGACCAACGGGUCAUCACCGUUUGCGUGGCACCUUAGGACAAGCAACAAGGCGUGCUUGACCCUUGAUUACUCUCUAGCACUACAGUAUCUUGACGUUUAGUUCCAUGGUGACGUGGCCAAGAUGCAUUCAUUUCUGCGAGAAAUAAUUAUGGACUGAUGAAAUAUCUUCUGUACAAUAUUUGAGUAGCGACACGUGUCGGAGUGGGAACAAGUGAAGGCGAUGGAUUCGGGGGCGGCGAUCAACUCGAUGCUGCAGACUGAAGAACGAUCAGGAUGCAUGAAGUCCUUUUGCGUUUGUCUUUCAAACUAUGCUCUCGUUUCGCAUGCGGAUUAUGCUUUAUUGUUUAAAUUCGAACUCAUUUGCCGAAAUCGCUGUCAAAUUCCAACUAUGUUCUAUUGCGUGGUUUUUCGGUUUGCGGGUCGCCGCGGUGGCACCCGAGCACACACCACAUUGACAACCCGUAUAAUAGCAUUUUUUUGCGAAUAUGCUUUAUACGGCUCCGUUUUGGGGGGUCCACCUCUGUCCGCACCCGCGCCGCCCGCAAGAUCCAUUUUUCACGAACUGUAAACGAUUUUUGCGGGUCGAAAUUAUACGGGGUCUGCUAGAAAUGCCCUUAUGAUCAUGUUGGAGCACCAGCCCAAAACGGAUGAUGGACUCCGACGACUUGACGGUGCCGGCGUGUAUGAAUCCUGACGGCCAGUGCCAUUCUCAAAAGGACAAAAGAAGAAAAAAGGACCAGUCCAGUAGUAAUGCAUGUGGUACUUCAUGUUCUGGAUGGAUGCUGGACUUGACUUGCCGGCCGGCCUGUAUAAACCACAAAUCAUUUUCCCUGCAGCUUCACCGUCACGGGCACCGGACGAGCGGCGGGAAAUGGCUUGAGCUCAUGGUUGAACUACCAUGGCGACCAAUCUCAUGUCCGUCGUGUUGCUAAUGGUGAUAAAGCUCUCUGCUGGGGCGCGCUCUGACGAAUCCCCGUGCAGCUUCCCGGCAAUCUUCAAUCUCGGUGACUCCAACUCGGACAACGGAGCUUUCCCGACCCUCUUUCCGGCUGUGCAGCCGCCCUACGGCCAGACCUUCUUGGGCAAUGGGCAUGCCGGCCGGGCGGCAAAGCGACGGCUGCCUCACCAUCGACUUCCUGGGUACACAUCUAUCUACAACAUCUCAUAGGGAUCGUAUGCAUCGUGCUGCUGCAGAGGUGAUAACCGAUGAUUUUAUUUCCUAACACACGUAACGUACGUAUUGCAGCUCAAGCAUGUUACCUGAGUGCAAUUUACUCAAUAUAACAUGUUUGUCAUGUAGUUCACCAUAGAUAUAUUUCUUAUUCAUAGAUUUUCUACACGAUAUUAUCUCAUUGCAGAUUUUAUUUGGAUUACGGAUACUAGUGCAGAUUUUAUUUGGAGUACGGAUGUCUGGAAAAAUAAUCCUACAUUCAGAAUCUAAUUAAUGAACAUCAUGCGCAUUGCCCUUUGCCCUGGCAGGCCCCACGCAAAGGCACCGGAGGGUCGGAGAGAGCGCCGUCCACGAUCUGGUCGAAGAUGAAUUUGUAAGCCGCCUCUGUCAAGUGCACCCCAUCCCAGCUCACGCUCUUCGAUGGGUCCUCGCAAGACUUCCCCUCUAGGACCGGAUCACCGCACCGGAUGUUCUUGUCGAAGUUGUACUGGCCGCCGCCGUACCCGCAACACACACGCAGAGGAUCCCCAAAACCGAACUUUUUGGCUUCGCUCAUCAACUUGUACGUGGCGGCGUACACGUCGACGUAGGUGAAGGCGGCCUCGGGGAGAGCCACCCUGAGCCUCGCCACGGUCUCCUUGAGCCGCGCAUUGAAGAACUGGGGGCCGGCGUUGAGCGCGACAGAGCAGCCGGCGUCGUCCUUCUCCGCGGCGAGGUCAGGGCGGUAGACCAGGGCGUAGGGGAGGCACCCGAGCGUCCCCGUGUUGUGCACCCAGAAGUACCUCCCGCCAUGGUUGUACACCGUCUGGAUCGCCGACGCGAGCCUCUCCAUUAGAUCGGGGACGUAGGCCUCCACUUGGGCCGUGGUCAUGUUUUCUAGGUAGCCCAUGGCGAGGUCGUUGGCGCCGAUGUCGAAGGUGUAAAGCGCCUUGGAGACCAGGUGAUCUGGUUUGGGCAAGAUCGCUCGGUAGAUUCCACCUGCGUCGAUAUCGAGGAACCUCCGGUAAGAAAUUGCUAAAAGACAUCUAGAUGUGAGAUAACUAUUGCACAUCUAAGUCCUAUGUGAUUGACCUUACGUCGAGAUUCGUGUGAGUAUCUUUUUUACUUUUUACUUUUUUUUAUGCUUGAUUUAGCAUUUUAGAUGUGCGAUAAUUAUGUCACAUCUAGAUGUGUCCUAGACACACCCUUGCUACAAAAUAUAUAUCGAGGAGCUGGAUUUAAGUUUGAUUUUCACCUAUGUUGUUGUAGACGAAGCGGCUCCUGUUGAUGAACUGCUGGAAUUGCCAGAUCUGCACGUCCAAGGAAAUGGGGCUGUAUCCGGAGGUCCACAAGCUCCCGUUCACUCGUCUGAUAGUUCCAGCGGCGCUCGCGAAAUUGGCUCCCUGCGUGAAGUUGCUCCCUAGCGAAUCCAGAUACGCAUUCAGGUAACGCAGCCCCAGGCUUUGAGCUGCGGCACAUACGUGUCAGGGAAACAAUAUAGAAAAUCUCCAGUUUUGAGAUGUUGUAGGUAGAUGUGUGUACCCAUGAAGUCGAUGGUGAGGCGGCCGUCGCUCUGCCUCCCGGCUGGCAUGCCGAAGAAGGUCUGGCCGUAGGGCGGCUGCACCGCCGGGAAGAGGGCCGGGAAGGCUCCGGUGUCCGAGUAGGAGUCGCCGAAGUUGAAGAUCGCCGGGAAGUCGCACGGAGAUUCAUCGGAGCGCACCCUCUCUAGUACCACCAGCAACACGACGAACGUGAUGAGUUUGCUGGUCGCCAUGGUGGUGCGGCGGCG
rnacentral:lncRNA from 1 species